GCAACCAAAAAACCACAUUAAAGAAAAACAGGACAUUUUCAAAGAACACUAACUCAACAUGGGCCACUAACAACUAACUGAACAUGAUUCAUUCACUGUUGAAUCUAACAUGACUUGGAUCAAAUGGGGUGCCACUCUUUGUGAACUCCAUACAAUCAUGAACUUCAUGUACUCCUCCAUUACCAAGGUUUUGCUUAACCGCUUGCAAUACAAUUGCUUGAUUUGGACUUGCAUGGUCUUUGUGUUUAUUGUUGUUAUAAUCGUACGAUUCUUGAUUCAAAUCAUAUGAUUUGAGUCAAUUCCCCUGCCUAGCGAUUCGAAUCCAUAGGCUGAAUCACAAAUAUACAUGAAGUGGUACCAAA
rnacentral:misc_RNA from 1 species